UGAGCUCCGACGGGAGGUCGCUGAGCUCCAUCGGUGAGGCUCUGAGCUCCGUUGGUGAGGCUCUGAUCUCCGUCGGUGAGGCCCUGAGCUCUGAUGGGAGGUCAGAGUGGAGAUCUUCCUCCAGAGUUGCAGCUCACCUCUGCCUGCUGUCCACAGGGCAGUCGGUCUCUUGAUACAGGACAUCACUGGGCCCAGUAGAGUGGAGGGAACUGUCAUGAACAGUAUUGCUGAGCCCUUGAACAGUAUGGCUGGGCCCGUCACCACAGACCUGGAGGGCCGGGGAAUGGAUCUGCUCCACAAAACUGCCGACGGGCACCUCCCCACAGACCUGGGGCUCCAGAGAACAGACCUGGAGGUCUGUGGAGGAGCUGCCCUCCUCCAAAUUCCACUCUGGUAUCACAGCCCUGGAGGUGAGAAGGAAACAACAGAAUAUCGAUUUACCUGUCCAUCAUGCCAGCACACCAGUGGAGACAGACAGGAAGAGACCGACAGGAAGAGACAGACAGGAAGAGAGAGAGAGAGCGAGAGCGAGAAUACAAACUUACCAAAGACAAAACAAAUAAUUAAAAUAAGUAGCAAAGAGAGCAAUCUAUAGGUCGGGACUGGUGGGUUAACCUGAGCUCUGCUUCCUGUCACAUGACUCACCGGGUGGUUGGAGUUUGGGGAGAGGAAGGAGGCGGCUGGGAGAGCAACUGUGUGUUUGAGAUCUUCGGGGGGGAGAAGCCCCCCAGAGCAGGAAGCAGGAACUCUGGCGAUUCUUCCUUCCGGAGACCCUCCGGAGAGUUCCUCCGCUCUCCUUCACAGUGUGCGUCGGUGACUUCCUGUGAAGUGCUGGGCGGGGAACAUCUCUCCUCCGCCACCGCUGCUGUGGUUUGCUUCUCUGGCGUUGCCACGACGACUGUUCCCGUCACCGCCACAUCUGGGGCUUCAGCGGCGGGCAGCGGCUGGAGCUGGGGGUCCAGGGGUCCACCGGCGCUGCUCUGAUGUCGGGUGGGAGGGGCCACAUCUUCCGUACACGCGCUCUCCUUCUGGACCACGCCGUUCUCCUGCCGCAUGCUGGGAGUGUUUUCUCCCUGUCUCACCUGCGCCGUCACUGAUGUCUUCUCCUCCGCUUUGAUCUGCUCCUCCUUCAUCUCCCCCUCUUUGAUCUCACCCAUGCUGGCUUUCCUGCGGAGUACACACACACACACACACACACACACACACACACACACACACACACACACACACACACACACACACACACACACACACACACCUUCAGUCAUAGAGCAUCACGAGAUGUAGCUUACCUCUGAACAUGAGAUAGGACACUGUAUAUUUUAAAGGUUCAAUAUAGACCCAACAUGGAAUCGUUAAAACCAUACCAAAACACCCUGUCAUGUGAAUACAUUUUCAAUUUACAUGUGUAUUGCAGCAUUUUAUUCCCAGGUAAACAAUCCUAUAUUAAACUCAUAUUUAUACAUUUACCUCCCAUCAGAGGUCGGGCUGUCCGGGAAAGCACCUUCUAUCCCCGUUUCAGGGGGCGCGGCGGUCUUUCCAGCCAACAACCCGCUCUUCUCCUCCAGGGAUGCGCAGGGAGUCUCGGCAUGACAACAACAGCUCCCCAUCGUAUUAGAAAGCCCCGAGGUGUGGGAGUCCACCGGAUCUACAGCCCGAUUCCGGUGACCCCGAGGAUCAUAUGGACGGUUCUCCAACUUAACUACAGCCCGAACUGAAGAAGUGCAUUCCUUUGAAUACACCUCGAUCAUGACGAUAUAAAGUUGAUAACUACAACAUAUGAUACAUAGUUCACCCUUUUGUGCCUUCUACUUCGAUCACGGGGUCAUGUCAAGUCUAAUGUUUGUUAUUUCCUGGUAGAACCAGAAUGAAAUGCCAUGCAUGAUUGAGGGUUUGCAUGAUGUACCUGUAUCUCAAGUAUGUUAAUGCUAUAACUUUACAGCUAAUAAUUAGAACCACCACAUGACGAGUAAAUCAUUCAUUCGGGCAUGGGAUCACAUUAUUCUACUUUAAAUUGAGGUCAGAUAUCAGGCGAAUGACUUAAAAGAUGUGCUCACAAACCUGAUAUACGGGUCUCACUGCAGAACGUGUCCGGAGAGUCCAGUGUAAGGCGAUUUCUGUUUCACUUUCCUUUUCUCGUGUACAACAGGAUUAGCCUGCUAGCUACAGCUAGUGGUUCCCCUGUAUUAUUAACUAUGUUAUUAAACCGCUUAUUUUCCGCGUCGGGUAUCCGUUACCAUCUAAUACAUCAGCUCAGACGGCUCUAAGUUAUACAUAUGAAGUGCGUUGUGUAUAAUACGAGAUAUUAUCCAAGCUAAACCAUUGCAGGUCGAGUGUGAAAUCGGAUCCGCAUUUUGUAAAA